GAAAUGCGAUACGUAAUGUGAAUUGCAGAAUUCAGUGAAUCAUCGAGUCUUUGAAUGCACAUUGCGCCCCCUGGUAUUCCGGGGGGCAUGCCUGUCCGAGCGUCAUUGCUGCCCUCAAGCACGGCUUGUGUGUUGGGCCCCCGUCCCCCCCCCAAGGGGACGGGCCCGAAAGGCAGCGGCGGCACCGUGUCCGGUCCUCGAGCGUAUGGGAAGCAACUUUUUGUCACCCGCUCCUGUAGGUCCGGCCGGCGGCCUGCCCAACCCCAACCUUUUUUUCAACCAGGUUGACCUCGGAUCAGGUAGGGAUACCCGCUGAACUUAAGC
rnacentral:misc_RNA from 1 species